rnacentral:rRNA from 1 species
GAUGAACGCUGGCGGCGUGCUUAACACAUGCAAGUCGAACGAAGCACUUUUGAUUGAUUUCUUCGGAAAGAGAGAGACUGUGACUGAGUGGCGGACGGGUGAGUAACGCGUGGGUAACCUGCCUCAUACAGGGGGAUAACAGUUAGAAAUGACUGCUAAUACCGCAUAAGCACACAGCUUCGCAUGAAGCAGUGUGAAAAACUCCGGUGGUAUGAGAUGGACCCGCGUCUGAUUAGGUAGUUGGUGGGGUAACGGCUCACCAAGCCGACGAUCAGUAGCCGACCUGAGAGGGUGACCGGCCACAUUGGGACUGAGACACGGCCCAAACUCCUACGGGAGGCAGCAGUGGGGAAUAUUGCACAAUGGGGGAAACCCUGAUGCAGCGACGCCGCGUGAAGGAUGAAGUAUUUCGGUAUGUAAACUUCUAUCAGCAGGGAAGAAAAUGACGGUACCUGACUAAGAAGCCCCGGCUAACUACGUGCCAGCAGCCGCGGUAAUACGUAGGGGGCAAGCGUUAUCCGGAUUUACUGGGUGUAAAGGGAGCGUAGACGGUAAUGCAAGUCUGGAGUGAAAACCCGGGGCUCAACCCCGGGACUGCUUUGGAAACUGUGUAACUAGAGAGUCGGAGAGGCAAGUGGAAUUCCUAGUGUAGCGGUGAAAUGCGUAGAUAUAGGAGGAACACCAGUGGCGAAGGCGGCUUGCUGGACGAUGACUGACGUUGAGGCUCGAAAGCGUGGGGAGCAAACAGGAUUCGAUACCCUGGUAGUCCACGCCGUAAACGAUGAAAAAGGGGUGUCGGUAAGCAAAGCUUAUUGGUGCCGCAGCAAACGCAAUAAGUAGUCCCCCUGGGGAGUACGUUCCCAAGAAUGAAACUCAAAGGAAAUGACGGGGACCCGCACAAGCGGGGGAGCAUGUGGUUUAAUUCGAAGCAACGCGAAGAACCCUACCUGGUCUUGACAUCCCUCUGACAGCUGAGUAAUGUCGGUUUUCUUUCGGGACAGAGGAGACAGGUGGUGCAUGGUUGUCGUCAGCUCGUGUCGUGAGAUGUUGGGUUAAGUCCCGCAACGAGCGCAACCCCUAUCUUCAGUAGCCAGCAAAUGAGAUGGGCACUCUGGAGAGACUGCCAGGGAUAACCUGGAGGAAGGUGGGGAUGACGUCAAAUCAUCAUGCCCCUUAUGAUCAGGGCUACACACGUGCUACAAUGGCGUAAACAAAGGGAAGCGAGCCUGCGAGGGGGAGCAAAUCCCAAAAAUAACGUCUCAGUUCGGAUUGUAGUCUGCAACUCGACUACAUGAAGCUGGAAUCGCUAGUAAUCGCGAAUCAGAAUGUCGCGG